GCCCUGGGCUCAGUGGAUAAGAGCACGAGGCUCUCUUUCUCAGGGUCAUGAGUUCGAGCCUCAUGUUGGGCA